rnacentral:rRNA from 1 species
CCUACGGGAGGCAGCAGUGGGGGAUAUUGCACAAUGGGGGGAACCCUGAUGCAGCGACGCCGCGUGUGGGAAGACGGUCCUCUGGAUUGUAAACCACUGUUCCCAGGGACGAAAAUGACGGUACCUGGGGAGGAAGCUCCGGCUAACUACGUGCCAGCAGCCGCGGUAAUACGUAGGGAGCGAGCGUAGUCCGGAAUUACUGGGUGUAAAGGGAGCGUAGGCGGGGAUGCAAGUUGGGUGUCAAAACUACCGGCUCAACUGGUAGUCGCACUCAAAACUGCAGCUCUUGAGUGAAGUAGAGGCAGGCGGAAUUCCUGGUGUAGCGGUGAAAUGCGUAGAUAUCAGAAGGAACACCAGUGGCGAAGGCGGCCUGCUGGGCUUUUACUGACGCUGAGGCACGAAAGUGUGGGGAGCAAACAGGAUUAGAUACCCUAGUAGUC